UGAGGAAUAUUGGUCAAUGGACGAGAGUCUGAACCAGCCAAGCAGCGUGAAGGAUGACUGCCCUAUGGGUUGUAAACUUCUUUUAUACGGGAAUAAAGUUAGCCACGUGUGGCUUUUUGUAUGUACCGUAUGAAUAAGGAUCGGCUAACUCCGUGCCAGCAGCCGCGGUAAUACGGAGGAUCCGAGCGUUAUCCGGAUUUAUUGGGUUUAAAGGGAGCGUAGGCGGGUUGUUAAGUCAGUUGUGAAAGUUUGCGGCUCAACCGUAAAAUUGCAGUUGAUACUGGGUGUCUUGAGUACAGUAGAGGCAGGCGGAAUUCGUGGUGUAGCGGUGAAAUGCUUAGAUAUCACGAAGAACUCCGAUUGCGAAGGCAGCUUGCUGGACUGUAACUGACGCUGAUGCUCGAAAGUGUGGGUAUCAAACAGGAUUAGAUACCCUGGUAGUCCACACAGUAAACGAUGAAUACUCGCUGUUUGCGAUAUACAGUAAGCGGCCAAGCGAAAGCGUUAAGUAUUCCACCUGGGGAGUACGCCGGCAACGGUGAAACUCAAAGGAAUUGACGGGGGCCCGCACAAGCGGAGGAACAUGUGGUUUAAUUCGAUGAUACGCGAGGAACCUUACCCGGGCUUGAAUUGCAACUGAAUGAUGUGGAGACAUGUCAGCCGCAAGGCAGUUGUGAAGGUGCUGCAUGGUUGUCGUCAGCUCGUGCCGUGAGGUGUCGGCUUAAGUGCCAUAACGAGCGCAACCCUUAUCGAUAGUUACCAUCAGGUUAUGCUGGGGACUCUGUCGAGACUGCCGUCGUAAGAUGUGAGGAAGGUGGGGAUGACGUCAAAUCAGCACGGCCCUUACGUCCGGGGCUACACACGUGUUACAAUGGGGGGUACAGAAGGCAGCUACACGGCGACGUGAUGCUAAUCCCGAAAGCCUCUCUCAGUUCGGAUUGGAGUCUGCAACCCGACUCCAUGAAGCUGGAUUCGCUAGUAAUCGCGCAUCAGCCACGGCGCGGUGAAUACGUUCCC
rnacentral:rRNA from 1 species